AUCCUCGAUCUGUUGCGGGCAGAUAAAGUGGAUGUGGCUGUCAAAACCCCCGGCUGUCAGGAUCUUUCCCUCGCCGGCAAUGGCUUCGGUUCCGGGACCAAUGAUAAUGUUCACACCGGGUUGCGUAUCGGGGUUCCCGGCCUUUCCGAUCUUGGCAAUACGCCCGUCCCUGAGGCCGACAUCGGCCUUGUAGAUCCCCGAAUGAUCGACGAUCAGCGCAUUGGUGAUGACAGUAUCCACCGCCCCCUCGGCGCGGGUGACCUGAGACUGACCCAUGCCAUCACGGAU
rnacentral:sRNA from 1 species